UACGUAGGGUGCAAGCGUUAAUCGGAAUUAUUGGGCGUAAAGGGUGCGCCGGCGGAUGUAUAAGUCAGAUGUGAAAUCCCCGGGCUUAACCUGGGAAUUGCGUUUGAAACUAUAUGACUAGAGUGUGAUAGAGGGGAGUGGAAUUCCAUGUGUAGCAGUGAAAUGCGUAGAGAUGUGGAAGAACACCGAUGGCGAAGGCAGCUCCCUGGAUUAACACUGACGCUCAUGCACGAAAGCGUGGGGAGCAAACAGGAUUAGAUACCCUGGUAGUCCACGCCCUAAACGAUGUCAACUAGUUGUCGGAUCUGUUAAAAGAUUUGGUAACGUAGCUAACGCGUGAAGUUGACCGCCGGGGAAGUACGGUCGCAAGAUUAAAACUCAAAUGAAUUGACGG
rnacentral:rRNA from 1 species